UUCCCCCAGCAGAGUCAUUUCCGGCAGCUCUGUUCUUUCGGGGCUGGGAGGUGCUUUUCUGACUCUCUCUCCCGCAGCAAACAGGAGGGUCGGUCUCAGCAUGCACCACGGGUAUCUCGUCCUCACUGCCUUCCUGGGGCAACUGCUGGAAACCAUGGGACAGGUGUCCGUCACCCAGCAAGAAGGACAAGUCACCGUGGAGCAGGGAAACACCUUCCAGACCAAUUGCACAUACAAGACCUCCAACUUCUUUAGUGCGUUGUUCUGGUACCAGCAGAAGAAGGGACAAGCCCCUCAGCUGAUUUCUUCUCAAGCAGGAAAGGGCACCAAGCAGAAGGACCGUUUCACCACGGAGCUGAACACUGACGAGAAACACAGUGUUCUGCGGCUGAAGGAAGUUGAGCUCUCUGACAGCGCCUUGUACCUCUGUGCUGUGAGUGACACCCUGGUGCAGGGAGCUGCCCUGGCUGAGCAACAACCCCGGAUGGGGAGGGGAUGUGUCUGUGCAAGGCAGAGCUCUGGGAUGGGGCCCUCAGCUCUCCCCUGGCUGCACUGCUUCCCCUGUGCACUCCAAGAUCUGACAGCCAGAUCCUCUUUCCCAAAGGGGCUGGUGUCUGUGGCUGUGCAGAGAGGGCUGACCCCAACUGACUGACCUGGACCACAGGGCUCUACUUUCCUCCCUUCGCGGGCUGUCAGAAUAGGGCAGAGCCUGCUGGGAAAUAAGACUCCCCUGGGGGAUUGCUCUCAGCCCCUCAGCCCCAGCGUGAGUAAAUUCCUGCCAGCCCAUGAUAAAGCAGCUUGCUUUGAGCCCUGGUCAGCCCAGCGCAGAGACCCCUAGAAGUAGUCCUGACAGAGAUUUGCAGGGUUCUUCUCUCUCUUCAAUGAGUCAGUCAAUAAACUGGAUUUGUAUCCCAGCCACCAGGUUUUCUCCAGACCUUCAGCCAGUUCAUGUCCAAAGCCUGUGCCUAAGGGACAGAACAAAUAGAGCAGCCCUUAGUGCCAAAGGCCCAAGAGCUCUCCAUGUUCAUCACCGUAAGCAAUCAGAGCAAGAGAUAAAUGAAGACCUACAGCCCACUGAGUUCGUUGACGUCUCCUCAGGGGAGCUGGAGGCAUGUGUGAUCAUCCUCAGCCCCUGCACAGGGAGCAGUGUCAUAAUGACCAGCUCCUGCGGCAGUGGGGCAUUGCAUGUCUGGGACAAGCUGGGUGUCCUGCAGGCUGCAAAUGCCAAGACCUCGCAGGAGAAACGAGACUGUGCUGAUGAAGCUUCCUCCAUCUCACAAAGCAUGCUCAAUGUGGUGUUUUGAUGUCCUCAGACUUGAGGAAACUCUUUUGUCUGCUUGCAAGAGCAAGAAGCAAAGCAACCCGGAGAAAGAAAAGCUUGGCCCAGGCAGCUCCCAGCAGGGGGCAGCCAUGGGCCCUCUUUCCUCUGUGCUCUCGGGGAAGGCAGCACCAGGCUCAGCCUUGUCUCAGCAGGGGUCUGAUCUACCCCCGGGAUCAUUGCCCCAAGGAUUCUCUGGACACAUUGAACACCUCUGCAGGAACAAUGCCUUCCCUCCUGUUCUUGCCUGGGAACAUGGCUGGAGCUGAUCUAACAGCUGUUAAAUUCCAGGUUGAGAAUCGGAAUGAUGCAAUUAAUAUUGGAAUAAAAAUGUUCCAUCAAGGAAAACAUUUAAAACUUCUUUCUCAUCAUCUCCUUCUGAGCUUUCCGUGAACCUGUUCAGAAAAAGCUGAACUGGGAAAUGUAGAGAAUAAAAAUACUUCUAAAAUUUCAUUUAUUUUUUGUUUCUUUUGCAACAUUCUGAAGCUUAAUUUCUCUUCACUUUGAUUGAAAAAACAAUCACUGGGUUGAUACUGAUGAUAGUGUAUAGCAGUGUUUCUGUUGUCUGGCUGGUAUUUUUAUGGGUUGGGAGCUUCUUUUACGCAGAAAAUUAUUUUCCGUAAUACAGCACUGUGGGAAACAAAGAAAUCUUUCACUAGCAAUGAAAAAAAAUAAUAUUUCUUUUCAAAGAUGAAAUAAAAAAUAAAAAUAAAACGCUAAUAUUUCUAAUG